CGGAAAGCCUCGCGUCCUAUUGGCGGCAGGAGGGAGGACGGCGUACGGCGGAGCGCUGAUUGGUCGCCGGGCGAGGGUGCGGCCCGCCCCUCGGGGGUCUCGUGACGCCAGGUGGACGCGGCUCGUGGCCUGCGGGUGCCGAGGCGGUUUUGGCGGUGCGGGUCUUGUGGUGCCGCUCGGGACAGCUUUCGUUCCUCUGUACUCGGCGGAGUUUUUCUGCGUUGCCCUCAGAGUCUGGGGACGAGAUCCCUCCUCUUGUGACCCAUCGGCACCUGAAGCAUUUCUGAAAGGAAACCGGUUGAACAUGUGAGGAGAAUCCAGCUGUCAUAAAGGUCCGUAUGUGAGACAAAGACCCACCUUCAGGACUUACCAUUCUAAUUUCUACAUGUUGAAUGAGCUUGUUAUGGCUGUUUUUGCUAUGCAAAAUUUAUUCUGAAUAUGCAUACAGUUUUGAUAAGUGACCAAAGUCAGCUUUUGUCCCUUCACCAAGUAUCUCAUUCAUCUUUCUCAGGCUUAUAGUUUUCCUUACAGACCAUUUUGAUAUUCUGCCAUUCGUGCCACCAGCUUCUCAUUUAUGAAGGAGAAGCUAAAUAAAGUAAACCGAGAAGAAACAAAGCAGUUUGCUUCAUGCAUAUUCCAAGUUUGAAUCUUGUCUUUAGACUGAUACUUCACAUUCUGUUUUACUUUGAACACAUUCCCAUAAUCUUGCUUCAAAGACAAGCUGUUCUUGUCUUUGCUCUUCCAUCCAAAUACAUGCUGUUGAUGUGUGUUUAUAUACAUGUGUGUGAAUAUAUAUUUACUAUGUGUGUAUGUAUAUAAACUUGCCUAGUCAUCAGAUUAUAGUCCACUUUGCUGAAUUUUGAGAUGCAUCCAUUGUUGCUACUCCACUCAACUUGAGAAGUUAUUCUGGGGCUUUCUCAGACUUGGAAUUUUCUUGUUUUGAACUGUUAAUUAUUUUAAUUAUGAAUAUUAUCUAAGAUUUUAAUGAAAGUAGUUUUAUCUGUAUAAUCCGUAUUAUUUAAUUGUCCCUUAUGCUGUUCCUCAUUGUAUGAUCAGUGUCUGACUAUGCCUUGCUUUUCUUAUUAGAAUCUCACAAGUUAAUCAUUUAUUAAUUCUGGUUUGCAGUUAAAACACUUUCACUACUGGCAUGCAGAUCAAACAUCUCAGAGUUUUACUGCCACCUCCUGACCUCUGGCACGCCUACUGAUAUAUUUUUUUUAAUCUUGUUUACUGGUUUGGAUUUGCCUAAAUAAGUCUGUUACCACCACCAAACUGGGUUGGACACUGCUGGACCAAAGCUAGGCACGUCCUUUAUACAUCUUAAUAGUCAUAUUAUAUUUUAAUGCAGUGCUUGGAGAGGAGAAAAACUUAUCCAGUUGAGACUUAGCAAAGCAAAAAUGUUUGCUCUACUUCUAAACAAAGAAGUAUUUCUGCGUUAAACACUGAUGUUGCAUUUCUUUUAAGACAACUUUAGAAUGUAUGGUGGAGUUGUGAAAGAAUUAAGAACAUAAUGAAUACAAAUUGGACUUGAUGAUCUUUAAGGUCUUUUCCAACCUGAGCAAUUCAGUUCUAUGAAGUUGAGCAUGUAUCAUCCCUAAUUAGGACUGCACUUUAUUUUGCAAAAAUCCUGGGAGGAUGAACUGUUUGCUUCUCAAGACAGCUACAAUGUCUCUGCUUUCUUUAUCCUUCCUAGCAGUAACAGAAAAGUAUUGGCUGCUAUUAAUGAAUUAGGAUGUGUCUGCAAGCCAAGAAUGUGCAGUUUCAUGAGUGUGGUCCUGCAUGUGCAUUUUAGUCUUCCCCUCAUAGGAUGAAGAGAAUGCUGAUGCUGAGAGAUCAACAUCAGAAGCUAGUGACAGACACAAG